rnacentral:rRNA from 1 species
GACGAACGCUGGCGGCGUGCCUAAUACAUGCAAGUGGAACGCAUGAUUGAUACCGGAGCUUGCUCCACCAUUAAUCAUGAGUCGCGAACGGGUGAGUAACGCGUAGGUAACCUACCUCAUAGCGGGGGAUAACUAUUGGAAACGAUAGCUAAUACCGCAUAACAGUAUUUAUCGCAUGGUAAAUGCUUGAAAGGAGCAACUGCUUCACUAUGAGAUGGACCUGCGUUGUAUUAGCUAGUUGGUGGGGUAACGGCUCACCAAGGCAUCGAUACAUAGCCGACCUGAGAGGGUGAUCGGCCACACUGGGACUGAGACACGGCCCAGACUCCUACGGGAGGCAGCAGUAGGGAAUCUUCGGCAAUGGGGGAACCCUGACCGAGCAACGCCGCGUGAGUGAAGAAGGUUUUCGGAUCGUAAAGCUCUGUUGUAAGAGAAGAACGUGUGUGAGAGUGGAAAGUUCACACAGUGACGGUAACUUACCAGAAAGGGACGGCUAACUACGUGCCAGCAGCCGCGGUAAU